GUCCACGCUGUAAACGAUGGAUACUAGGUGUGGGGGACUGACCCCUUCCGUGCCGCAGUUAACACAAUAAGUAUCCCACCUGGGGAGUACGAUCGCAAGGUUGAAACUCAAAGGAAUUGACGGGGGCCCGCACAAGCGGUGGAGUAUGUGGUUUAAUUCGAAGCAACGCGAAGAACCUUACCAGGGCUUGACAUCCCAGGCUGGAAUUAGAGAUAGUUCUUUCUCUUCGGAGACUGUGGUGACAGGUGGUGCAUGGUUGUCGU
rnacentral:rRNA from 1 species